UUCAAAAACUUCAAUACUAUUCGUCUAGAUAUAUUUUAUCCUUAUCCAUAAAUCUUCUCUUUCCUUAUAAAGAUCUAAUGAUCUUGUUUUUUUAGGUAUUUUUUCUUCUCCGUAACAUGGAAUCACCUUUGAAAUCAAUUUCCAUUCAUCAAUCAAUCACCGUGGCGGAGCUAGAAUCAAUGAUUUUGUUUUUAUAAAAAUCUGGGAAGAAGACACAACAAUCCAGAUAUGUUUUAAUUUGAUGUUUUGUUUAUAUGUGUUUUAUUUCGAUUUGAAUUUUGAUUUCUUAUUUUGGUUUUGUUUAUGUUUUGAUUUUGUUGAUUUAUGAGAAGAAGAAGACGAAGAAGAACGAAAUCUAGGUGUUUUUCAGUUGGAUUGAAAACUAUUUUGGGAAUAGGCUGAUUCUGUUUUUAUAAACCAGGUAUAUAUGUAUAAUUGGUUUCAAUUAUUUUUUUUGAUGAAUUGGUGUGCUUGUGUUCGAAUAUUUCAUGCUUACUUAGCGUGUAGCUUUGAAGUACAUGAUGUUUUUGAGCUAUGAAUUUUACGAUAAUUUUUAUGUA